AGUGAACGCUGGCGGUAGGCCUAACACAUGCAAGUCGAACGGCAGCACAGUAAGAGCUUGCUCUUACGGGUGGCGAGUGGCGGACGGGUGAGGAAUACAUCGGAAUCUACUUUUUCGUGGGGGAUAACGUAGCGAAACUUACGCUAAUACCGCAUACGACCUACGGGUGAAAGCAGGGGAUCUUCGGACCUUGCGCGAUUGAAUGAGCCGCUGUCGGAUUAGCUAGUUGGCGGGGUAAAGGCCCACCAAGGCGAGGAUCCGUAGCUGGUCUGAGAGGAUGAUCGGCCACACUGGAGCUGAGACACGGUCCAGACUCCUACGGGAGGGAGCAGUGGGGAAUAUUGGACAAUGGGCGCAAGCCUGAUCCAGCCAGACCGCGUGGGUGAAGAAGGCCUUCGGGUUGUAAAGCCCUUUUGUUGGGAAAGAAAAGCAGCAGGUUAAUACCCCGCUGUUCUGACGGUACCCAAAGAAUAAGCACCGGCUAACUUCGUG
rnacentral:rRNA from 1 species